UAUGGCCAUGUCACGUUGAGACACCGGUUCUCGUACGAUUACCGAAGUUAAGCAACAUUAAGCGUAGUACCUAAGUGGGUGACCACUUGGGAAUACCAG